UACGAAGGGGGCGAGCGUUGUUCGGAUUUACUGGGCGUAAAGGGCGCGUAGGCGGCCCUCCGUGUCGCGUGUGAAAGCCCCGGGCUCAACCUGGGAAUUGCGCGCGAAACGGGCGGGCUUGAGUUCGGGAGAGGAGCGUGGAAUUCCCAGUGUAGAGGUGAAAUUCGUAGAUAUUGGGAAGAACACCGGUGGCGAAGGCGGCGCUCUGGACCGAGACUGACGCUGAGGCGCGAAAGCGUGGGGAGCAAACAGG
rnacentral:rRNA from 1 species